rnacentral:rRNA from 1 species
GAUGAACGCUGGCGGCGUGCCUAAUACAUGCAAGUCGAGCGAACGGACGAUAAGCUUGCUUCUCUGAUGUUAGCGGCGGACGGGUGAGUAACACGUGGAUAACCUACCUAUAAUACUGGGAUAACUUCGGGAAACCGGAGCUAAUACCGGAUCAUAUUUUGAACCGCAUGGUUCAAAAGUGAAAGACGGUCUUGCUGUCACUUAUAGAUGGAUCCGCGCUGCAUUAGCUAGUUGGUAAGGUAACGGCUUACCAAGGCAACGAUGCAUAGCCGACCUGAGAGGGUGAUCGGCCACACUGGAACUGAGACACGGUCCAGACUCCUACGGGAGGCAGCAGUAGGGAAUCUUCCGCAAUGGGCGAAAGCCUGACGGAGCAACGCCGCGUGAGUGAUGAAGGUCUUCGGAUCGUAAAACUCUGUUAUUAGGGAAGAACAUAUGUGUAAGUAACUGUGCACAUCUUGACGGUACCUAAUCAGAAAGCCACGGCUAACUACGUG